rnacentral:miRNA from 1 species
CAUGGUAUCUUUCUGGUUUUUUUGGUUUUUUAUUAUGCAUUUUGUUAUAUAUAUAUAUAAACACAAAAUGCAUAAUAAAAAAACAAAAAAACCAGAAAGAUACCGAG